GACGAACGCUGGCGGCGUGCUUAACACAUGCAAGUCGAACGAUGAAGCCUAGCUUGCUAGGUGGAUUAGUGGCGAACGGGUGAGUAAUACGUGAGUGACCUACCUUUGACUCUGGGAUAAGCCUGGGAAACUGGGUCUAAUACCGGAUACGACCAAUCUCCGCAUGGGGUGUUGGUGGAAAGCGUUAUGGGGUGGUUUUAGAUGGGCUCACGGCCUAUCAGCUUGUUGGUGAGGUAAUGGCUUACCAAGGCGACGACGGGUAGCCGGCCUGAGAGGGUGACCGGCCACACUGGGACUGAGACACGGCCCAGACUCCUACGGGAGGCAGCAGUGGGGAAUAUUGCACAAUGGGCGCAAGCCUGAUGCAGCGACGCCUCGUGAGGGAUGACGGCCUUCGGGUUGUAAACCUCUGUUAGCAUCGAAGAAGCGAAAGUGACGGUAGGUGCAGAGAAAGCGCCGGCUAACUACGUGCCCACAGCCGCGGUAAUGACGUAGGGCGCGAGCGUUGUCCGGAAUUAUUGAGCGUAAAGAGCUUGUAGGCGGUUGGUCGCGUCUGCUGUGAAAGGCUGGGUGUUUAACCCUGGUUUUGCAGUGGGUACGGGCUAACUAGAGUGCAGUAGGGGAGACUGGAAUUCCUGGUGUAGCGGUGGAAUGCGCAGAUAUCAGGAGGAACACCGAUGGCGAAGGCAGGUCUCUGGGCUGUAACUGACGCUGAGAAGCGAAAGCAUGGGGAGCGAACAGGAUUAGAUACCCUGGUAGUCCAUGCCGUAAACGUUGGGCACUAGGUGUGGGGGACAUUCCACGUUUUCCGCGCCGUAGCUAACGCAUUAAGUGCCCCGCCUGGGGAGUACGGCCGCAAGGCUAAAACUCAAAGAAAUUGACGGGGGCCCGCACAAGCGGCGGAGCAUGCGGAUUAAUUCGAUGCAACGCGAAGAACCUUACCAAGGCUUGACAUAUACUGGACUGCGUCAGAGAUGGCGUUUCCCUUCGGGGCUGGUAUACAGGUGGUGCAUGGUUGUCGUCAGCUCGUGUCGUGAGAUGUUGGGUUAAGUCCCGCAACGAGCGCAACCCUCGUUCUAUGUUGCCAGCACGUGAUGGUGGGGACUCAUAGGAGACUGCCGGGGUUAACUCGGAGGAAGGUGGGGAUGACGUCAAAUCAUCAUGCCCCUUAUGUCUUGGGCUUCACGCAUGCUACAAUGGCCGGUACAGAGGGUUGCGAUACUGUGAGGUGGAGCUAAUCCCUAAAAGCCGGUCUCAGUUCGGAUUGGGGUCUGCAACUCGACCCCAUGAAGUCGGAGUCGCUAGUAAUCGCAGAUCAGCAACGCUGCGGUGAAUACGUUCCCGGGCC
rnacentral:rRNA from 1 species